CAGUUCGUGGAAUGAUGUACUAUAGAAGGGCUUUGAAGCUUCAGGCUUUCCUUGACAUGGCUUCUGAAAGUGGUAAUG
rnacentral:snoRNA from 1 species